rnacentral:rRNA from 1 species
UCGGCUCUCGCAUCGAUGAAGAACGUAGCAAAAUGCGAUACCUGGUGUGAAUUGCAGAAUCCCGCGAACCAUCGAGUUUUUGAACGCAAGUUGCGCCCGAGGCCUUCGGACCGAGGGCACGUCUGCCUGGGCGUCACGCCAAUAGACACUCCCCNUACAACCA